UACGUAGGGUGCAAGCGUUGUCCGGAAUUAUUGGGCGUAAAGAGCUCGUAGGCGGUUUGUCGCGUCUGCUGUGAAAGCCCGGGGCUCAACCCCGGGUCUGCAGUGGUACGGCAGUCUUGAGUGCGGUAGGGGAGAUUGGAAUUCCUGGUGUAGCGGUGGAAUGCGCAGAUAUCAGGAGGAACACCGAUGGCGAAGGCAGAUCUCUGGGCCGUUACUGACGCUGAGGACGAAAGCAUGGGUAGCGAGCAGGAUUAGAUA
rnacentral:rRNA from 1 species